rnacentral:rRNA from 1 species
UUAAAUUGAAGAGUUUGAUCAUGGCUCAGAUUGAACGCUGGCGGCAGGCCUAACACAUGCAAGUCGAACGGUAACAGGAAGAAGCUUGCUUCUUUGCUGACGAGUGGCGGACGGGUGAGUAAUGUCUGGGAAACUGCCUGAUGGAGGG